UUGAAACACCGGUUCUCAUACGAUAACCGAAAUUAAGCAACGUCAAGCCUGGUCAGUAACAAGAUGGGUAACCGUUUGGGAAUAAUACGUGCUGUAAG